rnacentral:rRNA from 1 species
UACGAAGGGGCUAGCGUUGCUCGGAAUCACUGGGCGUAAAGCGCACGUAGGCGGCUUGUUAAGUCAGGGGUGAAAUCCUGGAGCUCAACUCCAGAACUGCCUUUGAUACUGGCGAGCUUGAGUUCGGGAGAGGUGAGUGGAACUGCGAGUGUAGAGGUGAAAUUCGUAGAUAUUCGCAAGAACACCAGUGGCGAAGGCGGACUCACUGGCCCGAGUACUGACGCUGAGGUGCGAAAGCGUGG